rnacentral:rRNA from 1 species
ACGCUGGCGGCAUGCCUAACACAUGCAAGUCGAACGAGACCUUCGGGUCUAGUGGCGCACGGGUGCGUAACACGUGGGAAUUUGCCUCGGGGUAUGGAAUAACUCAGGGAAACUUGAGCUAAUACCAUAUAAUGUCUUCGGACCAAAGAUUUAUCGCCCUGAGAUAAGCCCGCGUAGGAUUAGGUAGUUGGUGGGGUAAAGGCCUACCAAGCCGACGAUCCUUAGCUGGUCUGAGAGGAUGAUCAGCCACACUGGGACUGAGACACGGCCCAGACUCCUACGGGAGGCAGCAGUGGGGAAUAUUGGACAAUGGGCGAAAGCCUGAUCCAGCAAUGCCGCGUGAGUGAUGAAGGCCUUCGGGUCGUAAAGCUCUUUUACCAGGGAUGAUAAUGACAGUACCUGGAGAAUAAGCUCCGGCUAACUCCGUG